rnacentral:rRNA from 1 species
AACUCCUACGGGAGGCAGCAGUGAGGAAUAUUGGUCAAUGGGCGAGAGCCUGAACCAGCCAAGUAGCGUGAAGGAUGACUGCCCUAUGGGUUGUAAACUUCUUUUAUAAAGGAAUAAAGUCGGGUAUGUAUACCCGUUUGCAUGUACUUUAUGAAUAAGGAUCGGCUAACUCCGUGCCAGCAGCCGCGGUAAUACGGAGGAUCCGAGCGUUAUCCGGAUUUAUUGGGUUUAAAGGGAGCGUAGAUGGAUGUUUAAGUCAGUUGUGAAAGUUUGCGGCUCAACCGUAAAAUUGCAGUUGAUACUGGAUAUCUUGAGUGCAGUUGAGGCAGGCGGAAUUCGUGGUGGAGCGGUGAAAUGCUUAGAUAUCACGAAGAACUCCGAUUGCGAAGGCAGCCUGCUAAGCUGCAACUGACAUUGAGGCUCGAAAGUGUGGGUAUCAAACAGGAUUAGAUACCCUGGUAGUCCACACGGUAAACGAUGAAUACUCGCUGUUUGCGAUAUACUGCAAGCGGCCAAGCGAAAGCGUUAAGUAUUCCACCUGGGGAGUACGCCGGCAACGGUGAAACUCAAAGGAAUUGACGGGGGCCCGCACAAGCGGAGGAACAUGUGGUUUAAUUCGAUGAUACGCGAGGAACCUUACCCGGGCUUAAAUUGCAGAUGAAUUACGGUGAAAGCCGUAAGCCGCAAGGCAUCUGUGAAGGUGCUGCAUGGUUGUCGUCAGCUCGUGCCGUGAGGUGUCGGCUUAAGUGCCAUAACGAGCGCAACCCUUGUUGUCAGUUACUAACAGGUUUCGCUGAGGACUCUGACAAGACUGCCAUCGUAAGAUGUGAGGAAGGUGGGGAUGACGUCAAAUCAGCACGGCCCUUACGUCCGGGGCUACACACGUGUUACAAUGGGGGGUACAGAGGGCCGCUACCACGCGAGUGGAUGCCAAUCCCAAAAACCUCUCUCAGUUCGGACUGGAGUCUGCAACCCGACUCCACGAAGCUGGAUUCGCUAGUAAUCGCGCAUCAGCCACGGCGCGGUGAAUACGUUCCCGGGCCUUGUACACACCGCCCGUCAAGCCAUGGGAGCCGGGGGUACAAUGAAGUGCGUAACCGCGAGGAGCGCCCUAGGGUAAAACUG